rnacentral:rRNA from 1 species
GACGAACGCUGGCGGCGUGCCUAAUACAUGCAAGUCGAACGCAGUGGGGACGGGUGAGUAACACGUGGGUAACCUGCCAUCAGUGGGGAUAAGACUUGGAAACAGGUGCUAUACCUAUAGUGAUGGAUGAACCCGCGGUGUAGUAGCUAGUUGGUGAGUUAACGGCUCACCAAGGCCACGAUGCAUAGCCGGCCUGAGAGGGUGAUCGGCCACACUGGGACUGAGACACGGCCCAGACUCCUACGGGGGGCAGCAGUAGGGAAUCUUCGGCAAUGGACGAAAGUCUGACCGAGCAACGCCGCGUGAGUGAAGAAGGUUUUCGGAUCGUAAAACUCUGUUGGUAGAGAAGCGGUAUCUAACCAGAAAGCCACGGCUAACUACGUGCCAGCAGCCGCGGUAAUUC